AUUCAGCUGACGAGUCCCAAAUAGGACGAGAUGAGCUUCCUGGAU
rfam:Schistosoma rodhaini strain Burundi genome assembly, scaffold: SROB_scaffold0008955